rnacentral:rRNA from 1 species
AUUCUGGGAGCUUCGGAUUUCAGAAUUAAAGGUGGCCUCUACAUGUAAGCUACUGUUUGGAGAUGAGCCCGCGUACCAUUAGCUUGUUGGUAGGGUAAUGGCCUACCAAGGCUACGAUGGUUAGCUGGUCUGAGAGGAUGAUCAGCCACACUGGAACUGACACACGGUCCAGACUCCUACGGGAGGCAGCAGUGAGGAAUUUUGCGCAAUGGGGGAAACCCUGACGCAGCAACGCCGCGUGAGUGAUGAAGGCUUUAGGGUCGUAAAGCUCUGUCAAGUGGGAAGAAACUGUUUGAUGCUAAUAUCAUCAUACACUGACGGUACCACUGAAGGAAGCACCGGCUAACUCCGUGCCAGCAGCCGCGGUAAUACGGGGGGUGCAAGCGUUAUUCGGAAUCAUUGGGCGUAAAGAGCGCGUAGGCGGCUUUUUAAGUCAGAUGUGAAAGCCCGGGGCUCAACCCCGGAAGUGCAUUUGAAACUAAGAAGCUUGAGUAUGGGAGAGGGAAGUGGAAUUCCUGGUGUAGAGGUGAAAUUCGUAGAUAUCAGGAGGAACACCGGUGGCGAAGGCGACUUCCUGGACCAAUACUGACGCUGAGGCGCGAAGGCGUGGGUAGCAAACAGGAUUAGAUACCCUGGUAGUCCACGCAGUAAACGGUGAACACUAGGUGUAGCGGGUAUUUACCCCUGCUGUGCCGCAGCUAACGCAUUAAGUGUUCCGCCUGGGAAGUACGACCGCAAGGUUAAAACUCAAAGGAAUUGACGGGGGCCCGCACAAGCGGUGGAGCAUGUGGUUUAAUUCGACGCAACGCGAAGAACCUUACCUGGAUUUGACAUCUCCCGAAGUUCCGAGAAAUCGGAACGUGCCCGUCAGGGAGCGGGAUGACAGGUGCUGCAUGGCUGUCGUCAGCUCGUUCGUGAGAUGUUGGGUUAAGUCCCGCAACGAGCGCAACCCCUAUCUUUAGUUACCAUCAUUCAGUUGGGGACUCUAAAGAUACUGCCCCGGUUAACGGGGAGGAAGGUGGGGAUGACGUCAAGUCCUCAUGGCCUUUAUAUCCAGGGCUACACACGUGCUACAAUGGGCUAUACAAAGGGUUGCGAGCCCGCGAGGGUUAGCUAAUCCCAAGAAGUAGUUCUAAGUUCGGAUUGGAGUCUGCAACUCGACUCCAUGAAGCUGGAAUCGCUAGUAAUCGUGGAUCAGCAUGCCACGGUGAAUACGUUCCCGGGCCUUGUACACACCGCCCGUCACACCAUGAGAGUUGGUUGUACCAGAAGUUGUUGGACUAACCCCUUUUGGGGAAGUAGGCACCUAAGGUAUGGCUGAUGAUUGGGGUGAAGUCGUAACAAGGUA